GCAGCACAGCUAGCAAUAGUGGGUGGCGACCGGCAAACGGGUGCGGAACACGUACGCAACCUUCCCAAAACAGGUGAAUAGCCCUCCGAAAGGAGGAUUAAUACACCGUACCAUAUGGAUGCGGCAUCGCAACCAUAUUAUAGGCAGCAAUGUCGGUUUUGGAUGGGCGUGCGCCUGAUUAGGUAGUUGGCGGGGUAACGGCCCACCAAGCCUUCGAUCAGUAACUGGUGUGAGAGCACGACCAGUCACACGGGCACUGAGACACGGGCCCGACUCCUACGGGAGGCAGCAGUAAGGAAUAUUGGUCAAUGGACGCAAGUCUGAACCAGCCAUGCCGCGUGCAGGAUGAAGGCCCUCUGGGUUGUAAACUGCUUUUAUCUGGGACGAAAAACGGACUUUCUAGUUCACUUGACGGUACCAGAGGAAUAAGCACCGGCUAACUCCGUGCCAGCAGCCGCGGUAAUACGGAGGGUGCAAGCGUUAUCCGGAUUUACUGGGUUUAAAGGGUGCGUAGGUGGGUAGGUAAGUCAGUGGUGAAAUCUUCAAGCUUAACUUGGAAACUGCCAUUGAUACUAUUUAUCUUGAAUUAUCUGGAGGUAAGCGGAAUAUGUCAUGUAGCGGUGAAAUGCUUAGAUAUGACAUAGAACACCCAUUGCGAAGGCAGCUUA
rnacentral:rRNA from 1 species